rnacentral:rRNA from 1 species
UGCGCAGGCGGGCUUGUAAGUCAGUGGUGAAGUACUGCCGCUUAACGGUAGAACUGCCAUUGAUACUGCAAGUCUUGAAUAUGGUUGAGGUAGGCGGAAUGUGUUGUGUAGCGGUGAAAUGCAUAGAUAUGACACAGAACGCCGAUUGCGAAGGCAGCUUACUAAGCCAUUAUUGACGCUGAGGCACGAAAGCGUAGGUAGCGAACAGGAUUAGAUACCCUGGUAGUCC